GCAUCCCUAGCUCAAUUGGCAGAGCAGGGGCCUCUUAAGCCCAAGGUUCUGGGUUCAAUCCCCAGGGGAUGCACCA
rnacentral:tRNA from 1 species